rnacentral:tRNA from 1 species
UGUACGUUGGUGAAAAUGGUUAGCACACUUGUCGUGAAAACAAAGAGAUGUGGGUUUGAGGCCCACGCGUAUUG